rnacentral:misc_RNA from 1 species
AAAAAACAAUCUCAGCUAAUUCUAUACAUUUAACAAAAUAACAAGAUAUAGAAUUUAUAGCGUGGACUCCGAUUCAUCAAAUGUGAUCCCAAGUUCUGCUGGCAAAAUAGGAAAAUGGUCAUGGCUUACUGACCUGAAAGAAUGUUCAGAAGCUUUAAGUGUGUUACAUUUCUGCAGUAUUCGUCACCCUUUUGACGAAUAAGGAAUCUCAUGGAAUCUGAGUAGCUUGAAUCAGCAACAGUUGAAAAAACUUGGCAGAGAAGACUCGUGCUUUGCUUCUGAAGAGAGGCAUUUUGCCGUGGAACAGUUCCUCAACUCCAAAACAUUCAAGCCCAAAAUCACUGACUAAAGAUCAAAAUGUUUGUCAGUCAUCCAAGUAAUCAUCAUUAAACAUCAUUCUAGCACUAGCACAUUCCUCUAUCGCUUUAGCAUUCACUUCCCUGCCAUACCUCCAUAUGUAGUUCAAACCAACGAGCAGCUCUGUGAUUGCUGAUUCUGUCUUUUCUUGAUUUGCAUAAUAAAGGGUUUGUACUAGCAGCACAUUUGUUCUGGAAACAAAGUUCUGAUGCUCGAAACUCCGCUCGGACUGCCAUCUUAUCAUAUUAUGAGCAAGAGGAGCAAGCCAUUCUAGUAUCCCCAGCAUUGCUUCAUUCCAUUCUCCAGCAAGAACUGUGUCAUAAACGGAUGACGUCAAGCUCUUAGCAAAUGGUUUUAAUUUCGCCCUGAGGGCUGCUCUUAAACUAGCCGGUAGCAUGUUGUACAGGUCUUCUCUUGCAUCAUGUCCGAUCAAGUGAGGAGAUGCCACUAGUUUCUCAGUCACGAUAAUGACAUUUGCAUAAUGCAGUGCUAAGGCAGCAGCCCCGAGAGUUUCUGGAGGAGCAUUUAACAGCCUUUUUUUCGCAUUAUAACUUGUUAGAUAAGAGCAAGUUGAAUAGCCAUCAGCAAGUCCAUCUACACCAGCUCCUUUCGUUGCAUUUAGAAAACCUGAAUGAAAUCCGUGUGGAUCUAGAUGGCAAUUACUUACAGGAGAACCAUUCCCAACCAUCAUGCAGCCUUUAAGCGGUCCAGAGGUCGGUCGAGCAUGUUUUAAAUUUGAGCCUUUUCCAUUUAGGUUACCUGAACGAUCACGGGAUUUCCACCACUUCAUGCCGGAUUUAUUAAAUAGAGGGAGAGGACCAGAUUUUGUUGUUGACCUCCCCAGAGGACCCGAAUAGAAACCAGCAGAAGAAUGCCUUCCAGGAAUCGGGCUUGCUGUUGAUGUUGAACUUUUCAAGGGACCGGAAUAAGAACUGUGAAUGUUCCUAGUGCUCGAAAUUGGUCCAGAUUUCGCAAGGAUGCUUUCUACUGGUUCCGAAGAAAAUCUAGAGAGACUACUUUCAGAUGGGUGAACAGAUGACUGAGCAUAAGCAACUGAGUAGCUCCGAUGGAUUUGAUCAGAAUCUAGAUCUCUGGAUGCUUUAGCCCUCUCAUCCACAACGGGAUCAACUCCAAACACAUGCCCUAUCCUACUAAAUAUAGAAAACAAGGAUCUCGCCAAAAGACGGACAAUAUAAUCGUAAGUUCUAUUCCAAAUAGAGACAUCCUUAAGGUGCUUCACCUCCUGCUUCUUCCACGCAAGCUUCUUCUCGUAUUCAACCAAGGUAAUACUAUCUGCAUCAUCAUUUCCCUUCAAUCUCCUCAAUGUCUGUUCAAGAUCAGAAAGAUUCUCCAUUUCUUGAUACAAAUUCGCAUUUAUCACAAUAAACCGUUCCAUCUUCUUGAUUUUUUUGUCCAUCUUCUUCCAUGAGAGUUGCCACCCGUAUGGAUCAGCACCAACUUUUAGCAAAUCAUUGAAGGCUUGCUCGAAACUCUUCAAGAACGGAUCAUUACAUUUCUUUGCAAGCCUAGAAACAGCAGUUGCUACAUGUCCCAAGUUCUCAACCAACUCAGUACAUAUCAAUCUUGCAGUAUAUGAAUCAUCAUCCGAAAUAAGCUUCUUUAUACCGACCGAGUUCAUUAUCUCAUCCCUCAA